rnacentral:rRNA from 1 species
AUGAACGCUGGCGGCGUGCUUCACCCAUGCAAGUCGCACGAAGCACUUUAUUUGAUUUCCUUCGGGACUGAUUAUUUUGUGACUGAGUGGCGGACGGGUGAGUAACGCGUGGGUAACCUGCCUUGUACAGGGGGAUAACAGUUGGAAACGGCUGCUAAUACCGCAUAAGCGCACGGCAUCGCAUGAUGCAGUGUGAAAAACUCCGGUGGUAUAAGAUGGACCCGCGUUGGAUUAGCUAGUUGGUGAGGUAACGGCCCACCAAGGCGACGAUCCAUAGCCGACCUGAGAGGGUGACCGGCCACAUUGGGACUGAGACACGGCCCAAACUCCUACGGGAGGCAGCAGUGGGGAAUAUUGCACAAUGGGCGAAAGCCUGAUGCAGCGACGCCGCGUGAGCGAAGAAGUAUUUCGGUAUGUAAAGCUCUAUCAGCAGGGAAGAUAAUGACGGUACCUGACUAAGAAGCACCGGCUAAAUACGUG